UAUACCGUUAACCAGUUCUGAUUGGACGCAUGAAGCUCUGUUCACACACCCCUCGCCCCUGUGGGGAACACAUCUCGACUCCAACGCACAUAUUUAGGCUGUUGCCACGGGAGACAUUGCAGAACCACUUGUCAUGGGGAACAGGUUUUGGGGUCCCUGCGUUUUCAUACUCGUUUUCCACGAGGCGGCUGGCUUUAGCAUCAGGAAUGAGCUGCUGGGUAAGUGUGUGCAGGUCCUGGUCCAGGAUGGGCAUCCCGGGAGCAGGGUGGUGCUGGGGGAGUGCAUCCCUGGUUCAGCGCUGCAGGAGUGGCAGUGGCUCCCUGAGCGCCUAGCCCUGAGCAGCUGGCUCACAGGAGAGUGUCUGAGUGGCCAGGAGCAUGAUCUGAGUGUCAGACUGCACCACUGUGACCCGGGGAAUGAGGAGGGAGCUGGGGCUGCAGGUGGCGAGGUGGGCAGGGAAGGCCAGGCAUGGGCCUGCUCUAAGAAGGGCCACCUCACACUGCAAGGAAAGGGGCUUCACCUCAGCGCUCCUCACGUGUCCUCUAAGUCGUCUAAGGUCUUCCUCUCCAAAGAGCGUAGACAGGCCAGCAAGUGGAGAACGCUGGGCAACCAUACUGUCUGUGGGAAUGGAGCCAGCCAUCACCACCACCAUCGCCACAGGUCCACACAAACUGCUGCUCUGCCCUCCUCAACAAGUACCCCUUCCAAUACAAACAGCCAACCACAGUCGAUUCCUGGGGAUGAUGUUGUUUCCCCUAACACCACUGGAAUGGACCUUGGGACAGAGCACUCUCAUCUGGUUGAAAGCACCAUGGGCCCUGAGGGCCCCUCAAUGACAUUCUUCAACGCUGAGUAUGGGUUUGGCUGGAAAGUGACCAUGCUGGUGCUGAGCUCCCUGGCUCUGGUGCUGGGGACUGUCAUGCUCUUACUCAACAUUCACCACAACAGGAAGAAGAAAGUAGUGUGUGUGCUGAAGUCGUACACUCCUACAGGGCUUGUGAGUCAGCCGGGGUCCCCUGUGCUCAGCGAGAGAGCCCCCCUCACUCAGCACCCCAUGCGGCCGGCACACUCUCCCUCGCUACAGCGGGGAGAGAUCUUGAUCAAGUGGAAGGACGGUACCGUCACCCCGCUGUUCGACAACAACAGUUACCUGACUGACUGAAGGACGUGUGUGUGUGUGUGUGUGUGUGUGUGUGUGUGUGUGUGUGUGUGUGUGUGUGUGUGUGUGUGUGUGUGUGUGUCUUUGUGUGUGUGUGUGUCUUUGUACUUGUAGAGAGAAAGAGAAGCAAAGGGAAUCUGAAAAUCUAUUUAAGAAUCUGAGAGGUGAACACAAUGCAUUUCAAUAUAACAUUUUACAAGUGUGCUGAUGUGAGUCAGCAUAACGGUUAUGUUACACUUUUAAAACGGGAACGUUCGGAAAAAUAUGCACAUCCAUCUUAUCAGGUGCAGAGCAAAAGAAACUAUCAAAGAAAAAAUGUAUGUCUGCAACUCUGGUAUGCUCCCAUGGUGAUUUAAUCAGACAAUGGUUAGAUCCGAGUUGGAUCUUUGUCAGGUCACAUUUUCAACUGGAAAUCCCUCACUUCCCUUAGAAGUAUCUGGCCUAACUGAGAUGAAAGGUAGCAAUGAAGUCCUGCCAGUAGAUAUAGCUGGACCUGGUUGAAGGACCGUUAUGGAAUAUUCCAAACCCCUGAUGAACUAGACAAACAGGCUUUCCCUCUAACUAAGUACUCGUCAAAAGUUUGGACACACCUACUCAUUCAAGGGUUUGUCUUUAUUUUUUUUACAAUUUUCUACAUUGUAUAAUAAUAGUGAAGACAUCAAAACUAUGAAAUAACACAUGGAAUCAUGUAGUAACGAAAAAAGUGUUAAACAAAUUCAAAUACAUUUUAUAUUUGAGAUUCUUCAAAGUAGCCACCAUUUGCGUUGAUGACAGCUUUACAGAUUCUUGGCAUUCUCUCAACCGGCUUCACCUGGAAUGCUUUUCCAACAGUCUUGAAGGAGUUCCCACAUAUGCUGAGCACUUGUUGGCUGCUUUUCCUUCACUCUGCGGUCCACCUCUUCCCAAACCAUCUCAAUUGGGUUGAUGUCGGGGGAUUGUGGAGGCCAGGUCAUCUGAUGCAGCACUCCAUCUCUCUCCUUGGUCAAAUUGCCCUUACACAGCCUGGAGGUGUGUUGGGUCAUUGUCCUGUUGAAAAACACAUGAUAGUCCCACUAAGCGCAAACCAGAUGGGAUGUCGUAUCGCUGCAGAAUGUUGUGGUAGCCAUGCUGGUUAAGUGUGCCUUGAAUUCUACAUAGAUCACAGACAGUGUCCCCAGCAAAGCACCCCGACACCAUCACACCUCCUCCAUGCUUCACGGUAGGAACCACACAUGCAGAGAUAAUUCGUUCACCUACUCUGCUUCUCACAAAGAAACGGCGGUUGGAACCAAACAUCUCAAAUUGGGACUCAUCAGACCAAAGGACAGAUUUCCACCUGUCUCAUGUCCAUUGCUUGUGUUUCUUGGCCCAAGCAAUUCUCUUCUUAUUAGUAGUAGUGGUUUCUUUGCAGCAAUUUGACCAUGAAGGCCUGAUUAAUGCAGUCUCCUCUGAACAGUUGAUGUUGAGGUGUAUCUGUUACACCUCAGCCCAAAUAAAUGUUAGCAUUUAUUUGGGCUGCGAAAUCUAAUCAACUUGUCCUCUGCAGCAGAGGUAACUCUGGGUCUUUCUUUCCUUUGGCGGUCCUUAUGAGAGCUUCAUCUUAGAGCUUUAUAGUUUUUGCAACUGCACUUGAAGAAACAUGAACAUUUCUUGAAGUUUUCCAGAUUGACUGACCUUAAUGUCUUCAAGUAAUGAUGGACUUUUGUUUCUUUUUGCUUAUUUGAGCAGUUCUUGCCAUAAUAUGGACAAAGCCCUAUUUGGUAAAAGACCAUCUUCUGUAUACCACCCCUACCUUGUCACAACACAACUGAUUGGCUCAAACACAUUAAGAAGGAAAGAAAUUCCACAAAUUAACUUUUAAUAAGGAACACCUGUUAAUUGAAAUAUAUUCCACGUGACUACCUCAUAAAGCUGGUUGAGAUAAUGCCAAGAAUGUGCAAAGCUGUCAUCAAGGCAAAGGUUGGAAACUUUGAAGAAUCUCAAAUAUAAAAUAUAUUUAGAUUUGUUUAAUACUUUUUUUGGUUACUACAUGAUUCCAAAUGUGUUAUUUCAUAGUUUUGAUCUCUUCACUAUUAUUCUACAAUGUAGAAAAUAGUAAAUUAAUGAGUAGGUGUGUCCAAACUUUUGACUGGUACUGUAUGUCCAUGUGCUUCCAGCAAGUGUGAGAAAGCAGUGGAUUGUACAUACUGUAGUCGUAACAUGUUCAAGGGGAUGCUGCAGCACCCUCAACAAACAUACGUCCUGCAGCUAUGACCAGAGACCUGAGCCCUAGGACCAUGCCUCAGGACUACCUGGCAUGAUGACCCCUUGCUGUCCCCAGUCCACCUGGCCGUGCUGCUGCUCCAUUUUCAACUGUUCUGCCUGCGACUAUGGAAUCCUGACCUGUUCACCGGACGUGCUACCUGUCCCAGACUUGCUGUUUUCAACUCUCUAGAGACAGCAGGAGUGGUAGAGAUACUCUUAAUGAUCGGCUAUGAAAAGCCAACUGACAUUUACUCCUGAGGUGCUGACUUGCUGCACCCUCGACAACUACUGUGAUUAUUGUUAUUUGACCAUGCUGGUCAUUUAUAAAAAUGUUGGCCAUGUUCUGUUAUAAUCUCCACCCGCCACAGCCAGAAGAGGCCUGGCCACCCCUCAUAGCCUGGUUCCUCUCUAGGUUUCUUCCUAGGUUUUGGCCUUUCUAGGGAGAUUUUCCUAGCCACCGUGCUUCUACACCUGCAUUGCUUGCUGUUUGGAGUUAUAGGCUGGGUUUCUGUACAGCACUUUGAGAUAUCAGCUGAUGUACGAAGGGAUAUAUAAAUAAAUGUGAUUUGAUUUGAUUUGAUGUAUUGAUCACAUCUUCACUAAUGCUCCAGAAAUGUGCUUGAAAAUAGUAUCCAGAUCCAUCAGAUGUGGUGAUCACAUUGCAAUAGCCAUAUCUAGGAAAACCAAAGUUCCAAAGGCUGGGCCUAAUAUAGUGUAUAAGAGGUCAUACAAUAAGUUUUGUAGUGAUUCCUAUGUUGUUGAUGUAAAGAAUAUCUGUUGGUUGUGGUGUGUAAUGAGGAGCAAACAGACACGGCACUUGACACGUUUAUAAAAUUGCUUAUUCCAUUUGCUAAUAAGCAUGCACCCAUUAAGAAAAUGACUGUAAUAACUGUUAAAUCUCUGUGGAUUGAUGAGAAAACUUUUGGAACAAAUUGUGUUUGACCAGAUACAAUGCUAUUUUACAGUAAACAAAUUGACAACAAACUUUCAGCAUGCUUAUAGAAAAGGACAUUCAUAAGCACAGCACUUACACAAAUGAUUGAUAAUAAAAUAUUGAGGGAGCUGUUUUGUUAGAUUUCAGUGCGGCCUUUGACAUUAUCGAUCAUAGUCUGCUGCUGGCAAAACUUGUUAUGUUAUGUUAUGGCUUUACACGGCCUGCUACAGUAUAUUGUGGAUAAAGAGUUACCUGUCUAACAGAAUACUGAGGGUGUUCUUUAAUGGAAGCCUCUCCAACAUAACAUAGAAUUAGGAAUUCCUCAAGGCAGCUGUCUAGGCCCAUGACUUUCAAUCUUUAUUAUGAUUAUUUUUAUAAAUUUUUUACCCCUUUUUCUCCCCAAUUUCGUGGUAUCCAAUUGGUAGUUACAGUCUUGUCUCAUCGCUGCAACUCCCGUACGGACUCGGGAGAGGCGAAGGUCGAGAGCCGUGCGUCCUCCGAAACACAACCCAACCAGAGGAAUGAGGAAACACCGUACACCUGGCGACGAGGUCAGCGUGCACUGCACCUCACUAAACCAUUCACUAAACCCUAAACCUCAACUAAAUAUUGCAAUAAAUAAUGUGGAAAUUGAGCAAGUUGAGGUGACUAAACUGCUUGGAGUUACCCUGGAUCGUAAUCUGUCAUGGUCAAAACAUUUUGAUACAACAGUAGCGAAGAUGGGGAGAAGUAUGUCCAUGAUAAGGUGCUGCUCUACCUUCUUGACAGCACUGUUUUGUCACACUUGGACUUUCAGUCGUGUGGUCAGGUGCCACAAAAAAGGACUUAGGAAAUUGCAAUUGGUUCAGAACAGAAUGUAACAAAAUUUGGGAAAAGUUAAGGGGUCUGAAUAUUUUCUGAAGGCACUGUAUAACUACGAUAGCACGUGUACAUAGGUGGUAAAGCUAGCUGGCAUUUUCCUCUCAUAGAGACCAAUAGUAAUGGCGUAUUUUGUAGGCAUUAACUCCACCAUGGGUCAUUGGCCAAAGCAUAUGGGUAAAUUAAUGGGACUGUGUUAAACAUUAAUGGGGAAAUAAUGUGGUUUUGAGAUAAACUGUGAAAGUAAGGUCUGAGGUUCUCACAGGCUUAGGAGAUCUUAUACAUUAUAUUCUAUGAGAUAAUCUCAUAGAUAAUCUGCUUCAAAAGAAGCACAUAAAGCACAAAAAGGUUGAAUAAUUUAUUAAGGUCAUGUUAACUGACUGAUAUUAUAUCAUAGAACAAAAUGUAUAACAUCUUCUCAGCCUAUGUUAACCCCAGACCUUAUUUUCGCAGUUUAUCUCAAAACCUCAUUCUUUCCCCAUUAAUUUCCCCAAUAGGAAUGGCUAAACGAACCAUAGGUAACUCAUUUCUGUUUCCUUAGGACCUCAAGCUGGUGACAACACUUCUGGGUGACAGCCCAGCGUUUUUCUUGCUUCUUAUUAGCUAUUUUUAUUUUAUUUUGGUUUUCUUGCACAAAACACCAAUAUACUUACAGGAAGUACGCAAACAAACAAACAAAUAAGAAGAACAUAUGGUACAGAUGCAGGAUCUUAAUUUGAGCCAGUUUCCUUAAGCAGUGUCAAAAUAAACAAAUGCCUUAAAAGACACACAAGUGUUGACUGUUUUUCAGCUUUCUCACUUGAAUAUUGGACAAUGAUCUUAAUAUAUUGCUUGAACUUCUUAUAGAACACAUGGAAGAGUGUUUCUUUUUGUGAAUUUACAGUUCUGAAUAUGCAAUGUGCCUCUCACAUUCUCCUCAUGUGUAGCCAAAUUGAAAAAAAUGUCAUGAUGUUUAUGUCUCUUAAUUUGUCGUAGUCCUACUUCUGGCAGAUGGUGCUAAUAUUCCUUACGUGAUUUACCAUUGGUGUCCUGCAUUUAUCUGCACAGCCGGAAACACACUUGUGUCCCCUGGCGACCGGUUAGUACAUAAAGCAUCCUCAAUUCAGGCUGAAAAGGCAUCAAUUUGCUCCUUAACUAGCUUUAAUGGUGUCCCUCCGGGGAAAACAACAGGAAAAAUAUGCAUGUUGUCUUAAUAAAACACAAUUUUCCACUAUAGGAGUGUAUAGCCAGUUGGGCUGACUGUGUCAACACCUAGAGGUUAUACAACAUCAGGAAGAACAAUGCCCAACUAUCCUGUUGGUAAAGGUUUCUAGUGUGCAAAUGUAAAAUGUAAAUCUUAAAAUAGUGGCAUAGCUAUUGUUAAUAUACGUUUUAAGAAUUGAAUGACGAUUUUGAAACAUGUAUUGACCACUGCCAGGGACUUAGCUAGCUGCUAGCCCAUGUCAGCUACCGUUUUUUUAGCUCAUUCUUUUAGCCCAUAUAUUUUGUUGUAAUGUUUGAGUCACUCAAAUAUCACAUUAAUACACAUUAGAAGUGGGAAAAUGUAUAGAAUUGCAAGAGAAUUUGCUUUAAAACAGCACAAUUUUCUCUGCACCACACGACAAAACGUGUAGAAUUGCAAGAAUUGCAAGAAAUAAGCUUUAAACAUGCGAAAUAGUAUUUCCUCCAACAAGAGGGGUGUGAACAGUUUGUGUCAUGAACACUGCUUGUACCCAUAGAAAUAGAUGUGACGCGAGCGCAGGGAUGGGUCGUUCUAGACAAGUAUACCAUACCAUCUAUUGGCUUAUUUGGCCAUCUGGAGUGCAGGUAAUAGUUUUAGAAGCUUUGUGAAAUGGGAUAGUUUGUUAUCCCCUAUCUCCAGUGACGAGAACCGUAUAAUGAUGACGUAGCACGUCGUGUUUAAUUUCUAGGAAGGAUUAUCCCUUUAAACAAAUAUGAUCUAUUAUAUUUACAUUUUUGACAAGAUUGCAGAGUAACCGCUCUAACAAUGGAAAUACAUGUCCUCAAUGAUUGAAGGUAGGCGAGAUCAUGUGGGACCAUUCUAGCAAAUGAGAGGGCAGAUAAACAUGUGAACAACAUACACAACUAAUGUUAAACGACAUUUCUUUAGUAUUAACCGGCCUUAAGUCGUUUUUCUCAAAGUUACCGAAAUGCCACGUGCAUCCAUUUACAUCAGUACAUUUGUAACAGCCUAAACUUUACGAAACUUCUAUUAAAUCAAAUAAGCCAUAUUUAAAUUGACACUCUCUCAUAGAACUCCAUUCAAAAAGUGCUUAUCUAAUGCAGACACAUUUUUGGGCGGAGUAAAUCCUCUCGUUUCACUAUGUCCUCUCUGCUUUAAAUAGUUAUUGUUAUGUGUCGGAAAUGGGGAAUUGAAUUUGAAUGCUUUGAAUAUGAAUCUGUUAAAUCUGUUGAAGACAUUCAACUAAAAAAUGUCAAUAGAAUUAUUCUAUUUCUGUGUCACAUCUAGAACAUGUAAAUAAAAUGUUAAUAUUUCCUUUAA